rnacentral:rRNA from 1 species
ACGGAAGGCAGCAGUGGGGGAUAUUGCACAAUGGGGGAAACCCUGAUGCAGCGACGCCGCGUGAGUGAAGAAGUAUUUCGGUAUGUAAAGCUCUAUCAGCAGGAAAGAUAAUGACGGUACCUGACUAAGAAGCACCGGCUAAAUACGUGCCAGCAGCCGCGGUAAUACGUAUGGUGCAAGCGUUAUCCGGAUUUACUGGGUGUAAAGGGUGCGUAGGUGGUAUGGCAAGUCAGAAGUGAAAUGCGGGGGCUCAACCCCUGAACUGCUUUUGAAACUGUCAAACUAGAGUAUAGGAGAGGAAAGCGGAAUUCCUAGUGUAGCGGUGAAAUGCGUAGAUAUUAGGAGGAACACCAGUGGCGAAGGCGGCUUUCUGGACUAAAACUGACACUGAGGCACGAAAGCGUGGGGAGCAAACAGGAUUAGAUACCCUGGUA